AGCAGCCGCGGUAAUUCCAGCUCCAAUAGCGUAUAUUAAAGUUGUUGCAGUUAAAAGCUCGUAGUUGAAUUUCGGGAUUGACACAUCGGUCGUGCCUUAAGGGGUAUGAACUGGUGUAGUCAAUUUCUCACCUUCUGGAGAACCGCGAUGCCCUUAAUUGGGUGUCGCGGGGAACCAGGACCUUUACUUUGAAAAAUUGAGUGUUUAAAGCAGGCAUUUUGCUUGAAUACAUUAGCAUGGAAUAAUAAAAUAGGACGGCAUGAUUCUAUUUUGUUGGUUUCUAGGAUCACCGUAAUGAUUAAUAGGGAUAGUUGGGGGCAUUAGUAUUCAAUUGUCAGAGGUGAAAUUCUUGGAUUUAUUGAAGACUAACUACUGCGAAAGCAUUUGCCAAGGAUGUUUUCAUUAAUCAAGAACGAAAGUUAGGGAUCGAAGACGAUCAGAUACCGUCGUAGUCUUAACCAUAAACUAU
rnacentral:misc_RNA from 1 species